GGGGUCAUAGCUCAGUUGGUAGAGCGUUCGGCUGGCAGCCAAAAGGUCGGGGGUUCGAUUCCCCCUGACUCCACCA
rnacentral:tRNA from 1 species